GUGGAAGCUAAGGACGCCAUCUCCGUUCAGGUCAAAAGUACGAAUCAUGGCCUUGCAAUCAUCAAGAGACCUUGACUCGCCCAGUCGACUCAGCAUUCUCUUCAAGCUGUUAGGGUUAAUGAUUCCAGAGCCAGGCUCCGUUUCGUACAUCCCAAAUGCCUGCUUAAGCUCUUCCUUCUUACCCUCCUCGGAGGUGCAACUCUCCAUCAGCCUUUGGAAAUCCUCGAAUCCUAACAACCCAUCUCCGUCCGUAUCAGAUGAGCCGACGGCAAACUCCGCGUCCUCAGUAGAAAGGUCCCCUCCCAACGUCCUCACGCAGCUCUGCAACUCAUGCGGAGAUAUCUUCCCAUCUCCAUUCUCGUCAAAGUAGUUGAAGACCCUUUGAAUUUCGGUGGCGUUAGUAGCGUAAUUAGUUGAAGAAGAAGAAGAAGGACAAAGAGACCGGCUGUCGCUUCUCCUUGGAGAUAGUUUGCGACGCAAUCUUGUUAGAGCUGAUUUGGGUGAAGAUGAAGGUGAAAGCUUGGAGGAGUUCAUGAUGAAAAUAAGAGAUGAAGUGAAUUCAAAAUUGAAGGAGAUUAAGGCCGUGUAUAUGUAUAGCUGAAACCAAGUGAAAUUGGAUAAGAUAGUUGAGUUGAGCUCUCUGUGGCAGUCUAUGACUAUAUAUAUAUAUAAGGAAUUGGAAGGGUAAAAGACGUGGCGGAAGCUUUGGCAACAACGCAUGUGUCUGAAAGUUGAAAACGCGGCUUCGGGUGGGCAGAUGAGAUGUAUGUAGUUGGCCAGUUGUUUUGCAAGUUGCAGUUUUGGCUUUAGAGACUGUGUGUCUGGGAAGUUUCCAUUCUUCUGGGCUUUUCGGGAUUUCUCUUUUCCUCUCCCUCUACAAAUAUCUAUGGAGUGGGGCCACAAACAUAGAAUGUAUGAACGAAGAGACUAGUCAACCAGUGUCGUCACGCCACAUCUCCGCUUCAGUUCAUCAUUCAUUCAACGGUCAUAACGUCUUGUCUGUUGUUAAUAUCCGUACAAUUACCAUACACUUUCGUAUAAGCUCA
rnacentral:misc_RNA from 1 species